rnacentral:misc_RNA from 1 species
AUCAAAAGGAACUCUGCUGUCGAACAGAAAGAACAAAUAGUCACACUCAACCAAAACAUUUCGAUUUUGAUUAAAGUCAACUCUUCAAUGCGAUCCUGAUUGUCGCGGUAAAUUGGAACAAGGUUUAAGUUGAAGUGAAUUGAAAACAUGCAACGUGACAGCGAAAAACGGUCCGACAUGAAUCAGUCCACCACGCGCACUCCAGCGGUUAAAUAUAAACAAGUGACCGCUUACAGCCAAACGACAGGAAACAACAAACCUAAUGUCACCCAAAUAACCUACAUACCACCACCUUUCAGAAUAUCUACGAACAAUCCUAAGCCAGCUAAGAAGUCGCUAUAAUUCAGUUUUUUUUUUAUUUUAUUGUAAUGUAUUUUUCUGUUAGUUAAUAAACUAUGUAAAUAAUA